rnacentral:lncRNA from 1 species
GCUGAGAAAUGCAAAAACACAGCAUUUUUUGAAAAGUGCAAAAAAAAAAAAAUGCAUGAGGAGAGACGAAUGAGUUUGGAAGGCAGGCAAGAGAGGAGAUGCAUAAGGAGACAGGGUACCAGAGGAAGGAGCUUUGAUGGUUUAUCCUGGUGGUAAUGAGAAACCAUUGAAAGAGUGUCUCCAAAGGAUUGGCAUGAUCAGAUUUUUAUUUUAGAAAAAUCACACUGAGAAUGAAGAUUAGAUCUGGGAAAAGUGAAAGAGGAGACUAGGAGAUAAUUUCAAAGUUUUGCUAGGCUAGUAUAAUGAGUUGUAAAGUAUUUCCUGUGUUCAUAAAUGCAGGAGUAGUAUGAUAAAUUUGGGUUAUUUUUCUAUUUUUUCUACAGUUUUAUUUGAGCCUGGUAUUUGUAUGUGUGUGGAGGAGAGAUUUGAAUCUAUCAGAUAAAUUUCUAAAAUGAUUAUAGGGAGUUCCCUGGUGGCCUAGCAGUUAGGGACUCCCCCUUAUCACUAUUGUGGCUAGGGUUGCUGCUGUGGCUCAGGUUUGCUCCCUGGCAUGGGAACUUACAUAUGCCACAGGCACAGCCAAAAAUAAAAAAGAUUAUAAAACUGUAAUUUAAAAAAAAAUUUCUUCUUGAAUCAGCUUUAAUAAGUUAUAUUUUUAGAAUUUGAAAUUUUCAUCUCCAUUUUUAAAAGCAUUUGAUGUAUUUUUUUUCUAAUUUCCCAGUAAGUAAUUCUGAAAAAGUGUAUAAUAGUUCUUCAUCUUUUUCAUCUGUAGUAACAUUCCAUUUUGACUAGCAACUGUAGUUAUAUUUUCUUUUUUAUUCCUGAUAUUUGUUUCUUUUCUCUUUUUAUUUUUUGACCACUUUUUACAAAGAGUUGAUAAUUUUUAUUUUUUUGAGAACAAACUUAUAGUUUUGUUUUUUUCCAUGUUUAUGUUCCAUUGUUCCAUUUUAUAAUAAUUUAAAGUCUUUGUUAUCAUCUUCUUCUGACUUUCUAUGAGUUUAUUAUGUUCUUUUAUAACUUUUAAAAGCAUAAACUGAGCUCACUAAUCUUCAACAUGUAUUUCUUUAUAACAUAAACAUUUAAUGUUAUGGGUCAUCCUCUAAGAACUGUUUUAACUAAAACCCAGAAUAGUUGGUUUGUUGUAUUUUUAUUAUUGUUCAUUCUUUCCUCUUUUUUUUGGCCAUGACAUGGCAUGUGGAAAGUUCCUGGCCCAGGGAUCAAACCCAUGCCAUAGCAGUGACCAAAGCUGCCACACUGACAAUGACAGAUCCUUAACCUAUUGUGCCACAGUGGAACUCCUUAUUGUUCGUUCUUAUUUUAUUACGAGUUAUACUGUUGCUCUUGAGUUAUUUAGAAUUUCUAAAUGGACAGUUUUUUUUCCUCAUCAAAUUUUGUCACCAAUUUAUAAUUUUAAUUGCAUUUUGCCCAGAGAUUGUGGUCUGUAAAUAACAGUCCUGUUUAUUAAGACCUGCUUUUUUUAUUCCUGAAUGUGGCCAGUCUUUGUAAAUGAUCCAUAUAUAUUUAGGGGAAUUUGUAUUCUUGUUAAGUAUGAUAUUCUGUAUAUGCCUAGAAAUUAAUUUUAGUUGCCUUAAUGAGACAAGAUAACAUGUUCAACCAAGGGCCAUGAUGAUAAAGGGAGAAGAUGUGUAAGACCUACAUUUGGAAGAUCCUAUUUAAUAAUUAGUUGAAUAUUGAUGUUAUAGAAAUUGAAAAUUUAGGAUAAUUUAACAACAUUUUAACUCAGGUUACCAAGUAGAUAUAGAUGCUGUGCAUUGAGAUAGGAAAUGCAGAGGGUUUGUGACAAUAGGAUGAAAAGUCAAGUGUUGACAUGUUCCUUUUGAAAAUACUGGUGUGAAAUCCAGGUUAAUAUGUGUAGAAAAUAGUUGAAAAUAUAUCUCAGCCGAGAGACCUGGCCUUGAAACACUAUUUUGGGAGGCAUUCACUUCAAGGGGGUAAUUGCAGCCCAAGUAGAGUAAGUAGGAUGAGAAGAGAAGGCAGCCAAGGACACACUCUGAAACCUAUAAAAAUGUGUUAUUAUACAUAUGCCUUCUUCACAUGCCUUCCUAUCUAGCAUUUUGCCGUAAAUUGGCAAAAGGCAGUAAUUAUGUAAGUUGCUCUUGGCUGCCAUCGCUGACAGUUUAAACCCAGUCUCUCAGACCCAGAAUGUUCCUUGUAGCAGAGGUGCCAAAGGUUUGUCCAGAGAAGCUAACAGCGAUGCAUAAAUGUGCUCCUGCUGCUUUUGCUUCUCUUACUAAGCUUUUAAAGAGCCUGCUACUCAUGGCCAGAACAAAGCUGAACACAGGGGGAUGGGGAGAAUAUGUGUGGAUGGGGAUACAGAAUAUUUUUUUGUUUUGUUUUGUCAAAUUUAGGAAUCUCAGGAGUUCCUGUCAUUCGUUAACCACUGCGCCACGACGGGAGCUCCGAGGAGAACUUUACACACACUAGUUCCUCUCUUGCCUGCUUGAGCUCCCUUUGUGGCUAUUUAGUAGGAUGGUCAUCACUGCAGAUUUCUCACAAACUUCAAGCAAGGAAGCAUCAUGUUCCCCAUAUCUUGAGCUUUCAUCUAAGUGAUGUCUGCCUGAUUCAGGCACAGUGAGAGAGGAUGGACCACUGACUGGUCACUGGGUGGGUCUCAAUUUAAUUGCAUCUUCUUAAGCUUUGAGAACUCUCUUUCAGGAGUCUGAAUGUAUACAGCAACCUGCAGGCUCUAGGACAGAUUUAGAGAAUCAUAUAUCGGUUCUGAGAUGCAACCUAAAUAGCUUGUUUAGACUGAAACGCAAUCCUCGAGUCCACUUUCUUGGCUCUUCUGGGAAUCCAGCUCUCUCUAGAAAAUGUGUAGGAAGCCUAAGCCAAAAACAAAAAUCUGUAGGUGGCCCCAGAACAGUAUUUCCUAAAUACUUGUGCUUUGUCCUAUUAAACACUCUGGAAAGCAGUUUCAUGGUCAAAUAAUUUGGGGAAACAUACUGCCUUUAUCUUUUGGAAAUCCAAAACACAUCUUAAUAUAUUGACUAUUUUAGGAAUUUUUACAGUUAAAAAAAACCUGUUAUUUUUAAAAAUGCAGUGUUUCCCAAAGUUAUUUUGCCACAGAAACUAUUUUGUGCAUAGCAGUUACCAUCACACAAAAUUUGAGACAGUGCCACCUCAGAACACUCGAAGAAAGAACCAAGAGCUCACCCUGGACCCAGGUUUCUAAAUGUAGAGUCCUUAAGCUAGUGGUCUUCCCUGAGUUUAUCUAAACCCUUAGGACAUCCUCAGGAGAAAUACGAAUGAGCCAGAGAUUUGGGUCUGGAGUGAGAUUUAAAUCUCUGGUGGAAGGCUGAGCUGCUCAGAGCUAGACAAACUGCUCCCACAUGAAGUGGUACUUUGCCUGCCAUCAUGGAUCCCUGACCUUGUUCCUCUCAUCAACCAAAUUUGCCUUCCCAAUUUAAUUAAUGUAAGAAAUCAGAGGUGGGAAAGCCAGUGAUUUUUGCCAGAGGCGCUUCUGAAUCUAUUCUAGCAGGCACUGAGUCAGGUCUCAUCUUUUCAUUUUAAAGAAAGUCCAGAUACUCUUAACAUGUUCUAUUUUUAACAAAACACUAUUAAACUGUCACAUACUCUUCUUUCUGUUUUCUUCUCCACUGCUGCUGCUGAUGACCGAGAUAUUUGUAUGGGAAUAAAAGCUGUCUCUUUUAUAUUCAACUGACAUCUCCACUUCUCUGAUAUUAUUAUUUCGCAUUUCUAUAGACUUUAUCUUUCUAAAAGGCUUUACAAUCAUUCAUUAGUUAUUCCUCACAGCCUCCCUCUUAGGUAGAGCACUAUGACUUACCCCUUUUACUGUUUUGUCCUCCUCUACUCAGUGCCCCCCCUCUUAUAUGGGGCCUACUGUGUGUGAAGCUUUUAUAUCAUGUAAUCACCAUCAUUCCAAGGAAUAAUAAGAUUUCUAGAUGGGGUUGAGUUAGAAUCAUGCUGCUGUACCCUCCUCCCUCACAGUGUGCCAUAGAGAAAAUUAUAUGCAACAAUAACACCGACCAAAUGCUGGAAUAGAAUAUUGGCUUUAUAAAUAGCUGGGCAAGCAACUGAGGAAUACCCUUCCACCAUCUCUGUUUCCCCCACACAAGCACCAUAGCCCAUCCCUGUGGGAUUCCAGGUUUCUCAUGCAAGAGGCAUCAGUAGGAAGCUUAAACCUGGACUCCUAAAAAGGCUUAUUUAUUCCUUUCCUACCCACCCACCCCCGUACAUCUAAGUGUCUAGGUCUGCCUUUACCCAACCAGUGGCAGAGGUAAGUAGUGGAAAUAGAAGCAGACUUGAAGGUCCAAACCCAUUAACUGGCCUCGCUCAGGAUCUUUUUUAGAGGUCCCCCCAUGCCUGAGCACAGAAAUGCCAGGUAGAACUGAGAAACCCACCUUUAGGGCAUAGAACUCUGCACUUGUAUAUCAUGAGCACAGAGGACUGAGGUUCUGUUCCAUUAGAAAGUCCUUCCAUAGAGGCUAAUGAAGUGUGGAUUACAUGAAAAAAGAGAAGAUACUGCAUCAGUUUAGAAAAUUAACAGCAGCAGAAAUAUUCAAUUCCCAAAGGUGGUUUUAACUAUCAAUAUCAUUUUAUAAAAUGGGAGAACCAAGGCACAAGGUGAUUAAAUGAAUGGUGAAACAUUAUAAAGCUAGUGAAUGGCAAACCAGAUAAUCUCUAUAUACUGGUUCUGGUGGCCCCAGUGUCUCCUUUCUCUUGGACCCAGAAUCACCUUGCUGACAGCUACCAGUCCCAUCUUUUCUACUCUCCUUUCUACCAAGAUAAUUUACAGUGGAGGCACCACUGUAUUUAUCCAAAGGCAGUAUACUAUAUCUCACUUAUCUACCUGGGAUAGAUAAGUGCCCAUCUUAUAACCAUUCCUACCUAGUACUAGCUAGCAGUCAAUUUGAGUAGAUUAUCCAUGUGGCAAGUAUUUUGACGGCUUAUGGUUGUUUUUGUUUGUUUGUUUGUUUGUUUACCUGUUAAUGCACUUUCUUCAUAGGAGACCCCAUUAGUAACUUAAUAUGGGGCUCUUUUAAAUUUCACACAGUCCUGAGAACUGAAUUUAGUUCCUUGCUGUUUUAUUUUCAAACCUUAGGAGAUGAGGAGAAACAAAUUGAAGGGAGAAAGAAUUUUGGAAAAAUCAGAAAAGAGGAAGGAUAACAGUUAAUAGCCUGACCAGAAGAUAGAAAAGCAACAAAGGCAAAUGCGAAAAUUUAAAACUCAGAACAGAAUAGAGACAAUACGUAUUGAAAGGGUAAAUAAUUCAAUAGAUCCUUCAAUGAAUUUUAAAGAUACCAAAAUCUAUUACAAUAAUGGAUACUCAUGAUUAUAACCCUGGCUCUUCAAAGAAAGAAGUUGAAGUAAUAGCAGUGUUUUCUGCUUAAAAGGGCAGGACUAUAUUUGUGACACAUUUAAGAAAGAUUUCCAUCCAAAGAAGUUAAAAUGUAAAAUGUCUUACUGCUUAAAGAUGGAACUCCCCAGCUAUUAGAAACAAACAAAAAACUUUGCUCUCCUGAAGGAAUCUUUUCCAAAGAGUCUUAGAUAAAUACAGUAUUACAGAUAGAUUUUUAUUCUGUGAUGAAUAAAUAUACCAUAAUGGAAUUACAAGCUUAUCAAUGUCCUUAUUAUGUAUUAAACACAUGCAUCCCUUCUCAUGCUACUUCCAUCCACCUGCUCCUCCCAAGUCCAUAGAUCUCUUUGCCUCUUGAUGCACUUCCAGAAAUAGGCUUUUCUAUUUUAAAUGAUUUGUUAUUUAUCUGAAAUUUAAAUUUAGUUAGGCAUCCUAUAUUUUUAUUUGCUAAAUAUGGAAACUGCACUCAGCAAGUUCUAACCAUCAGCCAGUUUGUGUAAUCAUUGGAGAUUUUGUUGUUUCUGUGGAGACUCCUUGCUCCCAGUACCCAGAAUGUACCAGGAGUCAUCUGAUUUCUUCUCUCUGGUCCUUUGGUGAGCAUUUGGUCUCUUGGCUGUUGGUAGAAGAUCUUUGACCAACAACAUCAAAAUGACACCUCCCCAAAUUUCUUAGGGUCCGCAAGGACCUUGUAAUUCACAGUCAAGAAAUUGAACUGUAUUGAUGUCAAGAGCUGUUGCUUGUGAAAUAGAAAAAAAAAAAAAAAAA